rnacentral:tRNA from 1 species
GGUAAGAUGGCCGAGAGAGCAGGCAGUGGGCUGUAGACCCAAACACAAAGGUUCAAAUCCUUUUCUUAUCA